AUGCGAAUUAAGGGAGAGAAGGCUUACAAGAGGUUCUGCAGCAUGGCGCAAGGAAUACCGUUAGGCAUGGAUACGAUAGGAUGGUUCAGGAGAGAGGAAAGAUCCCAGUUGUUCAACAAGAUGAGUGUAACAGUUUCGAAGAUGGAUGAUUAUGAAGUCGUGGAACAGAUCAGAAGAGGAGCUUUUGGUUCUGUUUUUCUUAAUCUAUGCAGAUGGAUGGUUCAGCUACUGUUGGCUAUAGAUUAACUCCAUAAGAAUCGAUUUCUUUACUGUGACCUUAAGUGCUCCAACAUAUUCCUCACCAAAGAAAACUAGAUUCUCAGAUUGUGGGAACAACAAACAUGUUCCCUGAACUUCUUGCAGAUAUACCUUACAGCUACAAAUCUGAUAUUUGGUCUUUAGGUUGUUGUAUAUAUGUUUAAGGCUCCUGACAUGGCUAGACUCAUAAACAAGAUUAACCGCUCUUCUUUUUCUUUCCUCCCGGUCAUGUAUUCCUCUUCAUUAAAACUAUGUAAUGUAGCGCAAGAACCCUGAACAUAGACCAACUGUGAUGUUGAGUUCCAUUAGUUUCUUCUUUUUGCGGCAUUUAUAGGCUUCAGAAUUGUUAAGACAUCCUUUUACUUACAGCCAUAUGUUGCAAAAUGCCAAAUUUUGUCUCCAGUUUUCAAACCAGUUGUGUCCAAAACAGAGCACAACACCUACGAAAACAGAACAGGCGAGACCGUCUUCCCCAAGGACGGGCACUGCCAAAUCCGCGAGAACACCCGUUAAACGUAUUCAAGAGGUAGCAGAAGAAGUAGAGGAAAUAGAGAUAAGGAGAAAAGAAUACAAGUUCUAGUUCAAAAGACAUAGAGAGACCAUGAAAGACCUAAGAGAAGUCAUUGAUUACCACAUUAACCCUACAACGUUAAUAUUGGCAGAAGAGCCCAAGAAGUGAGUAGAGAGCAGAAGCAUUGGAAUCUUUGUUGGAGCUUGUGCAGGUUUACUUAGGCAAGAAAAGUUGGAUGAACUCAGAAUUAGAAGGGUUCUUAAAGCCUUUUGGAGAUGAAACAGUUUCAUCAAGAUAAACCGCGAUUUGGAUCACCAGAAGUCUCAUGAAUGUAAAGAGAAAGCAAAAUGAUAAUGAAACCAAUCCUUUAGAAAGAAACACUAAACUCAACUUUUUCAUGCAGCCAUUUUGUGUAUAAAGAUAUUAAUCACAAAGCAAUAAAGUUACUAAUCAGAUUUAUAAAAUCUGAUCAACAAGCGCUUAUAUAGGACAAUAUUAUUUUAUUAUUAUCAUAUACUCAUAAAAGUAUUAGUGUAAUAACUUAUACAAUGAGAUUAUACAUCAAAAUGGGUUAUUUGACAAAAUUAUUUUCCAUAGAUUCUAAAGAACCUAUCAUAACAAAAAAGAGUUUUGUUAUCUCGUAGAGCCCCUCCUCAAUAUAUAUAUAUAUUUACUGCAAGAGAAGAGCCAAGAAGGCGGAGAAUGAUGCAGCAACGAUGGAGCCAACCACCGGAAAAGCCACGGUGGCAGAGGAAGCACCUGGUGCUGGUGCUGGAGACUCCAUGGUAGCUGCUGUGGCUGAGCUCACUAACACAACCGAGACAAAGAGGGCGACAAAGAAGUUGUUGAUGUUCUUCAUUGCCAUUAUUUCUUUUUUGUUUAUUUUGUUGAUGUUAGUUUUGUAUUUUUCUUU